GACGAACGCUGGCGGCGUGCUUAACACAUGCAAGUCGAACGGAAAGGCCCUUCGGGGUACCCGAGUGGCGAACGGGUGAGUAACACGUGGGUGAUCUGCCCUGCACUUUGGGAUAAGCCUGGGAAACUGGGUCUAAUACCGGAUAGGACCACGGCAUUCAUGUGCUGUGGUGGAAAGCUUUUGCGGUGUGGGAUGGGCCCGCGGCCUAUCAGAUUGUUGGUGGGGUAAUGGCCUACCAAGGCGACGACGGGUAGCCGGCCUGAGAGGGUGACCGGCCACACUGGGACUGAGAUACGGCCCAGACUCCUACGGGAGGCAGCAGUGGGGAAUAUUGCACAAUGGGCGCAAGCCUGAUGCAGCGACGCCGCGUGAGGGAUGACGGCCUUCGGGUUGUAAACCUCUUUCGCCAGGGACGAAGCGCAAGUGACGGUACCUGGAGAAGAAGGACCGGCCAACUACGUG
rnacentral:rRNA from 1 species